CAUCCAGAAACUUUACUCUUUGAAUAUUCCACAAAGUAGAGUCCAGACAAGUUAUGUUCAGCCAAGCCAAGGUGGGGAAUCAAAGCAAAAGGAUGAAGAAAGCUCAAGCCCGAGAGCUCUUGCUGAGUUUCAAUUCACAAGUGGCUCUUUGGAAGAAAUGGGUUAUAAGCAUGGAAGGGAUCAUGGGAAUAAUAGGCAUGGUGCUAGCGGAGAUUCUUGCGAAUUCAACUCAGGUGAUGGGCUGGAUCAGCGACAAGCUCCAUCCAAUUGUGGUGUUCAGUCUUCAUGGGUUGCCGCAGGGAAUGGAGAUGGGUGUGAUGUAGCACAGCAUCAUGAUGUGUCUGAGAGGGGGCCAAAUGAAGGAGAUGCGAAAGCGGAUCGGAUGGAGUUGGAAGGAGGAGGUGAAAUCCCUACCACAGGUUGAUGUAUGCUCCUCUCAUGAACACCGAUUCCUAAUGAAUAUCAUAAUAUGGAAUUGUAGGGGCGUUCUGAAGCCCACAUUUCAGAGUCAUGUUAGGGAGUUGGUGCGUAACCAUGAUCCGGCGAUUUUAGUUCUGAUGGAAACAAAAAUUGGGAGUGAAAGAGCCAGAGAGAUAUCAAGCAGGCUUCCUUUUGAUGGGGCAGCUCAUACAAAUACCAUCGGUUACGCAGGUGGUCUUUGGAUGCUGUGGAAAUCUGACAGGGUGGAGGUUUCUACUUUAGCUAGUACGGAGUAGGAAAUUCAUGCCGUUGUUAAGCAAAUAACAAUUGAACGUGCAUAUAGCUAUUUCACCCGGUGGAGACCAUGAUUUGGAAACCACUCUUUCUCAAUAAUUGUGAGUUAUUGUAUUGUGUUGUAUUGUAUACCCACAAGCAACCAAGGCCCACUAGAAACCCAUACAGAGACUCACAAACACAAAACCCCCAAACCUAGAGUCUGCAGUGUUAACCAAACAGAAAGGACAUGUACCUGAUCUCAGGAGAUGUUUUCAAGUGCACGACAAAGGUGGAGUUCUUGUACAUGUCGUUUGGGGUUUGGUCCGAAAUGAUGAAGAUGUUGGAGAUGAGGUUGAGAAAUCGGUGGCGAUGGAGCUCCAUCAGUGGGCGUCAAAUCCAGAAACUUGAAUAGAGCAAUGGUUCGAGACCAUUUUGAAUUAGAAUUGGAGGUCCACUAAAGGGCUAGAUUUGGAUCCGCAUGGGAGAGGAGGGAUAAGGAGGAGAAAUCCCAAGAAGGUCAGUUUCUAAGGCAUGAGAUCCGGAUCUGGCAUAGUUGUGGUAUUUGAUGGUGGGGUUUUUCUUUCUAAUUUUGUUUGAGUGAGUGGUUUGGAGAGAGGGAGAGAACCCAUAAAGGAAUUGAUUGUGCUAUCUAGAGAGAUAAUCGUGGCGGUGAGUGCGGUUCUUGUGGAAGAGAGGUGGCACAAGAACUAGAGGUUAAGGGUGUGUUUGUUUUGGGUGAAAAUAACUUCCGGAAAUGCUUUUCCGUAUUUACGGGUGUUUGGUUGCGCAUGGAAAAUGCAUUUUCCGGAAAUGCAUUUCAGUUAUAUUGUGUUGGGAGUGUAAAUUGAUUUCCAUUUCUAUUUUACCUUCAAAUACUAUUUUUCGGAAAACAGAGAGAGCGAGAGCUGAGUGAGAGGGAGAGAGGAAGAAGAGCCGCGCGUAGAGAGAGAGAGAGGAAGAGAGAGAGAAAGAACGAUCUCGCACCGUUGCGCUGUCGAUUGCAAUCUCGCCUUCGAAUGGAUUGCGAAGCACCGCACCACGCCGAUCGCGAAGCACCGCACCGCACCUUCGCUCCUUUCUCUCUUCCUUCUUCUCUCAAUUUGGCCGGAUUUGAUGAUUUUUUUUUUCUGGGUUUUGUCUGUGUUUCUGUAUUGAGGAAUGAAUGAUAUUGUAAUAUUUGUUUGGCAACCGAGAAACUGUGAGAAAAUGUGACCGGAUUUGAUGAUUUUUUUUUUCUGGGUUUUGUUUGUGUUUCUGUAUUGAGGAAUGAAUGAUAUUAUAUAUUUGUUUGGCAACCGAGAAAAUGUGAGAAAAUGUGAGCAACAAGUAGAAAAUGUGUUUUCUAUGGUA